CACGGAUCCAGAGUUUGAUCAUGGCUCAGGAUAAACGCUGGCAGCGCACAUAAGACAUGCAAGUCGAACGGAAGUCGUUAUAAAAUGGAAUGAAGAUUUAUCUGAGUGAAGUUUUAUAACAAUGGCUUUAGUGGCGGACUGGUGAGUAACGCGUAAGCAAUCUACCUAUUAGAGGGGAAUAACAAUGAGAAAUCAUUGCUAAUACCGCAUAUGCCAUAGGUACCACAUGGUACUAGUGGGAAAGGAGUAAUCCGCUAAUAGAUGAGCUUGCGUCUGAUUAGUUAGUUGGUGGGGUAACGGCCUACCAAGACGACGAUCAGUAGCCGGACUGAGAGGUUGAACGGCCACAUUGGGACUGAGAUACGGCCCAGACUCCUACGGGAGGCAGCAGUCGGGAAUAUUGCGCAAUGGAGGAAACUCUGACGCAGUGACGCCGCGUAUAGGAAGAAGGUUUUCGGAUUGUAAACUAUUGUCGUUAGGGAAGAAAAAAGACAGUACCUAAGGAGGAAGCUCCGGCUAACUACGUGCCAGCAGCCGCGGUAAUACGUAGGGAGCAAGCGUUAUCCGGAUUUAUUGGGUGUAAAGGGUGCGUAGACGGGCAUGCAAGUUGGUUGUGAAAUCCCUCGGCUUAACUGAGGAACUGCAACCAAAACUGUGUGUCUUGAGUGCAGGAGAGGUAAGUGGAAUCCCUAGUGUAGCGGUGAAAUGCGUAGAUAUUAGGAGGAACACCAGUGGCGAAGGCGACUUACUGGACUGUAACUGACGUUGAGGCACGAAAGUGUGGGGAGCAAACAGGAUUAGAUACCCUGGUAGUCCACACUGUAAACGAUGGAUACUAGGUGUAGGGAAUAUUAAGUUUUCUGUGCCGUCGCAAACGCAGUAAGUAUCCCACCUGGGGAGUACGGCCGCAAGGUUGAAACUCAAAGGAAUUGACGGGGGCCCGCACAAGCGGUGGAGCAUGUGGUUUAAUUCGAAGCAACGCGAAGAACCUUACCAGGUCUUGACAUCCAGUGCAAACCUAAGAGAUUAGGUGUUCCCUUCGGGGACGCUGAGACAGGUGGUGCAUGGCUGUCGUCAGCUCGUGUCGUGAGAUGUUGGGUUAAGUCCCGCAACGAGCGCAACCCUUGUCACUAGUUGCCAUCAUUAAGUUGGGCACUCUAAUGAGACUGCCGGUGACAAACCGGAGGAAGGUGGGGAUGACGUCAAGUCAUCAUGCCCCUUAUGACCUGGGCUACACACGUGCUACAAUGGACGGUACAACGAGAAGCGAACCUGCGAAGGCAAGCGGAUCUCUUAAAGCCGUUCUCAGUUCGGACUGUAGGCUGCAACUCGCCUACACGAAGCUGGAAUCGCUAGUAAUCGCGGAUCAGCACGCCGCGGUGAAUACGUUCCCGGGCCUUGUACACACCGCCCGUCACACCAUGAGAGUCUGUAACACCCAAAGCCGGUGGGAUAACCUUUAUAGGAGUCAGCCGUCUAAGGUAGGACAGAUGAUUAGGGUGAAGUCGUAACAAGGUAGCCGUAAGCUUCAC
rnacentral:rRNA from 1 species